CCACCGCGCGCCGCUCCCUAGUCUGGGCACCCCCCGGUGUGCCUCGCCUUCCUCCUUUCAUCCUCCUCGAGACGCCGGCCACUCAGCAGCCCCCUCAGCUGUCGGCUGGCGCGACCACGCCUCCCCACGCCGGGCUGCCUUCCCCGUCGAUGGAUACGAGCUCUACUGGCCCAGGCGACGCUACCAUCGCAGGAUUCGGCGAGAUUUGCCCAAGUAAACACCAUCUCCGUCGGUUAGGGCCCGCCGCGCCGGCUGGCGUCAGAUCCGCCCAUCCUUGCGCGAUGUUGGCCUUCCUUCUACCUCCAAUGUGCGGAUCCCCUCCCCUUCGUCUCCUCCUUCUAGCUCCAACCUCCCUCCGCUACCGGCCGGUGCGGCCUCGAGCCCUCGACUCCUGCGCCAACAACCGAACUCCCGCGCCACCAACCGCAGCAACGGCCUCAAGACGGUGUUUCCUCUCCUCAUCGCCGUGCCCUCUCUCCAUUCCCACGCAAUCCACUUCAGAGAGAAGGAGGAACUCCAUCACCGGCGCAUGUGCCACUCGCGAGGUGAAGCCGCCUCCCAGUUUGCGGGGUGUGCGUGUGGAGUACGGCGGGCGCGUCGGUGCAGUCUGGUGGGUGCGUCAGUGCAGUCCGUCCGGGUAGAGCGUGCAUUGCUCACGCGCCACAUCCCCCGCCGUACAGUCGGAUCCCUCAGGCAGUGCGCCACGCGCCCUCGUUCGGUACGCUAAUAUCCAGUUCAUCGUAGUCCGGCCUUGGGCAGCAAGUGAGCCCCUCCCGUCCACCCGGGCUAUGGAGGCGAGCUAGAUCCGGCGAGAUCCUUUCCUCUACGGUCCCCGGCCGUCCAACCUCACGCCCCGACGGCCUCCUGCAAGCACGGCUGGGUCGACGCCACCCCGUCCGCACUGCAUUUGUAAAAAAAUUCAGAAAAAAAAUUAAAGAAUGGUGAAGUUCAUUUGUAAGAAAAAAUGUGAUUUUCUACAGAACCCCAUAAAUUAGGAAAACCUCAUGAGGUACACUAACCUCCUCUGCCCGCUACUAGGGGGCAUCUCGGCCGCCGCCGUUGCGCCGUGCUACCCCGACACUACAGUCUACAGAGCAAUAGCGGCAACAUGGCUCCUCGUUCUGCCUUCUAGAGCAGCGGUGCAGUUGCUGCGGCCAUGCAGCUCGGCUUGCGGACAAAUGCAGUUGACUUGCACAGGCCGGUUGCUCUCUGCGAGGAACCAAUUUGAUACCAUUUUUAUUUGGGUGAUUCAGCGUCAGAAGCUAACUCUUGCUUUUGCAUCUUUUCUUCCACAGCGGUUGCAGAUGUGUUGGAGCAAGAGGGCUUCUAAAACAUAGCAUGCAUCACCUUAAGUCUUCAGACACUGAAACCAGGUAUCAACAUUAAGUACACUGAUCUCUGGAAUCCUCUCUAGAAUUUACUGAUGAAAUCUUGUGUUAGUGUACAGUGUUUUGCAAUUCUCCUGGUUUGUGUUGCAAUUCUACCUGUGCAGCUCAGUUGCCUCUCCCCGUGCAGCUCGCUUGCCGCCCCCGUGCAGCUCACCUCCGCCGAGCAAACUCUUUUCGGCGAGUCCACAUCGCGUCCGCACCACAUCGUGCAAUUUGAGUGCAGUUUUUGAUUAUUUUUGGAGCAGCACAUCCAUCCAACCCAACAAGUUCAGAGUUUGUGUGUUCAGUGCAGUACCGCAGUGCAAUGCAGUGCAGUUUCGGUUUCAGAGUCCCGUUGAAGGCCUCUUGGUGCUAUCCUCACUUAAGUUUUAUGUGAAAAUGUGUGUACAGCCUGUGUAACAGAAUUGCAAGGCCAAGUUUGUCAUAAAAAAUGAUGCUUAGAUGCGAUUCAGUGUAAAAUCCUAUGUGGUUCACUUGGUAAACAAAAAAGUGUCUGGUAUGUAAAUUUUUGAAGCUCACUUUGUAAUGUCAUGUGGCUAACCUCUCGA